GACAGAGGUGCCAAGCGUUUAGGCGGAAUCACUGGGCUUAAAGCGUGUGUAGGCGGAUCGUUAAGUACCUUGUGAAAUCCCCGGGCUCAACCUGGGAACUGCAUUUGUGACUGCAUCGCUGGAGUGCGGCAGAGGGGGAUGGAAUUCCGCGUGUAGCAGUGAAAUGCGUAGAUAUGCGGAGGAACACCGAUGGCGAAGGCAAUCCCCUGGGCCUGCACUGACGCUCAUGCACGAAAGCGUGGGGAGCAAACAGG
rnacentral:rRNA from 1 species